GGUUCACAAAGGGGGCCCGAGAGGGGCGAAGGGGGCUGCCCGGGGCACGGCUCAUCCCCACACCUGCGCGCGGGUUGGGGGAAGAAUGUGGCCGGCGCAUUCCUCUGCUGGGGCCAGCGGGGGAGAACUUCCCACGUCGAGACUGGGUGAGGGGCUCAGCCAUCCGGCAUCUCGGAGGAGGGGGUCAAGCGCCUGGCCGGGCUCCUGCUCCGCGCCUCCCGCCUCCAAGGUCACUUCAGCCUCCCUGAAGACCGCCCGGCACGGCUCGGAGGCCGCGCACUGCAGCCAGCAAACCUGCGCCCGAGGGCAGAGAGUGAAGGAGGCUGGGUCCAGGCGUGCCCGGCCCUGCACUCCCCACACCGCAGGGUCCUCACGGGCCUUCCGGGACUCCCUUGGCCCCAGGGAGCGCAGCCCCGCGCUCUCCCCGACGCCACUGCCCCAUGCGGACCCCGCCCGCCCCCCAGGGAGCGGUCCCGGUCGGGGCCACGGCGAGGCUGUGGAGUACCUGGAGAAGGAGGAGAGACGCGAGAGGUCCACGAGGGAGCCCCAU
rnacentral:lncRNA from 1 species